UAGCAUGAUGAAUUCUGUUCUUGUUCAUUUGACCCAAUAUCGAGGUAUAUCAUUUAAAAUAAAUUGGGGGCAGUCUAUGUUACUGUUAUUGUGCGGGUCAAAUUCUGAAAACUUUGGAACCUCUAGUUUGGACAAUGAAGCUGGUGAAGAUAACAAUUUAGACAAGUUAUUUUAACUAAGUGGCAAAACUGGCAUUUGUAUGUAUUAAUACUUUUUUUUUAAAAUACCAUAAUCUGAAAUGUAUGGGUUUUUUUGUGCAGGUGGUCCAUUAUUUAAAGUUUGGCAAAAACUGUGGAUGAAGUGGAGCUGUCAGUGGCCUGGAUCUGAGACUGCUGGAGGUCUACAAAGCAGCAACCAAAUCUGGAAAGAAGCAGCCACUCAAAGACAUUUUGGACUGCCUUGCAAAAGAUGACACGAAUGAAAGGUGAAAGGGUUGCUGCUCUGCUUGGUUUGCCACGCUACAUAUCUGGGGAAGAUCCAUCAACUGUCAUCAGGAUGUGUGAUGCUCGUGCUGAUAUUCUGGAUGAUGCCAUGAAGGGGAUGCAGGUUGGUCUCCUGAUUGCCUGUGAAGGUAGUGAACUGGGGGCCAUCCCACACGAGGUCUUCGACGUGGCAGUUGUGGUGGAGGAGACCAUUGUGCUUCACAACAUUAAAGAUGUGACACUUGGCUUUGCUAUGCUUAUGGGUGUCAUCUACUGUAUCAAUCUCAAGUAUCCAAAUGACAUGAAGUAUUCGUUUGAGUUUCUUCAGAGAGUGGUGAUGAAGAUCAGACCAGACCAGGCCUCAGCUCGAGUACAUGGUUUGAGAAACAAAAUCUUGAGGUACAAACUGUAACAUUUGGUGUGUUUACAGUUUUGUUUUCUUAAAUAAGAGUUCCUGUAAGAAUUUGUUCAGUUUGUUCUAUGCACUAAAUGUUAAUACUAAUGGUUAUGCACUAAAACAUUUAGCAUUGUGCUGAAUUUGUGGAAAAACCUCUCAGGGUUUUUGUGAGUUUGUUAAAACACUGAUCGUUUUGCACUUUUUGGACUGUUUUUGAGAGAGCUAGCUAGUUGUAUUGACUUUGCACUGCCACUGUUCAACGUGGUUAGAAUGUUUUUUAAAAUAAUGGUCUGAUUUAAAUGGAAGACUGAAACUCACCAAUAAAAUACACUUAAAAUGCACCAAUUAAAUAAAUAAGAAAACUUCACCUCAUAUCUUAUAAUUUACCUUGAUAUUUUUCCAGCUUAGUUCCUACAAACAAUAUUUUUGUAGCACAUAAUUUAAUAUAUAUGUGUGUUUACCCUUUACUUAUAGAUGCAUUCAUGUCUUAAGUCUGUGUGUGUGUGUGUGUGUCCCCUUCCCUCAAGUCUUUUUAAUUGUUAUUUUUACAUAUCUCUGUCUUGUAUUAGGCCUCAUUUUGCAAAUAAGUUGUGCUGUCUUUCUUGGGUCAGCUCCUUCACUAUUGGUCAACAGACAAGAAGGAGCAGAAUCCAUGUGCAGAUCUGUUGACCAAUAGUUGAACUUACCCAAGAAGGACAGCCCCCCUUAAGAUGGUCCCCACAGCCAGCUGACUUUAGAAAAAUGUCACUGCCCACCUUAUUUGCAAAAAAAAAAUAGCAGAAAUGCAUAAAGUUUUUUGGGGGGAAAAGGAUAAAAAUAAACAUUUAAGAGUCAUAAAUGAAUCUACAAAGGGUAAAAACAAAAUGUUUACAAUAA